GACGAACCCGUGCGAACGUUAUUCGGAUUCACUGGGCUUAAAGCGCGUGUAGGCGGACAGGCACGUCCGAGGCUGAAACGCCCCGGCUCAACCGGGAACGUGGCCUGGAUACGGCCCGUCUGGAGGGGCAUAGGGGAGCUGGAACUUCCGGUGGAGCGGUGAAAUGCGUUGAGAUCGGAAGGAACGCCCGUGGCGAAAGCGAGCUCCUGGAUGCCUUCUGACGCUGAGACGCGAAAGCCAGGGGAGCGAACGGGAUUAGAAACCCGAGUAGU
rnacentral:rRNA from 1 species